GACGAACGCUGGCGGCGUGCCUAAUACAUGCAAGUAGAACGCAGUUGCGAACGGGUGAGUAACGCGUAGGUCACUGCCUGGUAGCGGGGGAUAACUAUUGGAAACGAUAGCGAAUACCGCAUACUACCAGAUGGACCUGCGUUGUAUUAGCUAGUUGGUGAGGUAACGGAUCACCAAGGCAACGAUACAUAGCCGAGCCGAGAGGGUGAACCGCCACCCUGGGACUGAGACACGGCCCAGACCCCUACGGGGGGCAGGAGUAGGGGAUCUUCGGCAAUUGGGGGAACCCUGACCGAGCAACGCCGCGUGAGUGGAGAAAGUUUUCGGAUCGUAAAGCUCUGUUGUUAAGGAAGCGGUACUUAACCAGAAAGGGACGGCUAACUACGUGCCAGCCGCCGCGGUAAUAC
rnacentral:rRNA from 1 species